UAUACAAAUCAUGCGGGAUUAUUGUUGGUAGAGAAAUCGAGCGCAUAGCGGAGAUUGUAAGUGGGAGAGAGUGGAACAGAGAGUACAGUGAGCACAGGGCGGAGAGUGACAAGAGAAGAGUGUGAAUGAAUGGAGCGUGGGGAAUUAAAGGGAAGCAGCACAAAGUGGGGGCGUUGCGUUGCGCUGGCGGAUGCUGUCAAGAUUCUCUGAUAAAAAUCAAUGCAAAAUAAAUUAAACAGUCGGCGGGUGGGAGGGGCAGAAAGAAGCGCGAGAAGCAGCACCAGCAGAAGCGAGUAGAGAGAAAGUAAAAGCAUGGCACAUUUGUUGCUGAGCAUUAUUAAAUUAACCAAAGGGAAGAGAGAGAUAACAGGCGUCUCUCUCCCAGCAUUGAAAAAACACUAAAGCAAGUUUUAAGACUAUUUUAUAUUCUUCUUUCGCUUCCAUUGUUUUUGUAGAGAGACUUACGGAGCAAAGUGCACAGUAGCACACAAGAAAGACACUUUUCGAAACAAUUCAAGAGCCUUAACUUAAAUUAUUGAUGACAAUUCAAAGCGAAUAUCCAAAACUGCCAUAUCGUAGAGUUCAGGGGCAAAAACGCAGCAGCUGGCAACGCGGUAAAACAACUCACCCACAUACGGAAAUUGCUAGCAAAUAUUAAAUAUGUACAGUACUUUAAAACUUAACGCCGGCCUCUUGGCCUUCGACCCGUCCGCGGAAAAUUCAAUAAAAUAUAAAACAACGUUCCAGCUUGGUUUCAGGAAAUUACGGUACCCACACUGCUGCCGCUGGCGCUGCUUUGGUCUUGAAACAGCUGACGAUGCGUCAUUCACACAAGUACCGUACCCACACAAUCAUCCACAUGGGACUCGGACACAGAAGAGAGAAAGAACAAGCGGUAAAGUGUAGAGAAGAGAGACAUAAACACGCACUUAGGACACAGCAAUGGUCAACGAAUUAGGAUCAGAAGCGGGAGUUUUACUGCAGAAAAUAAAAGUCCUAUUCGAAUAUAGUUCCAUUAGGCAAUAUGAAUCAUUUAGUUGAUUGACUUGCUUUCAUAAAUGGUCAAAAAUAUGUAUAAAUGAGAACGAAUGAAACGAUCAAAUAACAGAAUUGUAAGUUAGCACAUCAAACUAAACUAUUGCAGUUAAAAAAUUCUAGAAAAGUAUUUAUAUUGAAGACCUAGUUGUCUGCCCUCGACAGUAAGAUUGUCUCACUUUAAAGUCAACAAGUGCAAUUUUCUCAGCACGCAUAACGGACGUCCAUAAAAAGAAGAAUAGGAAUACAAUUAGCAGCCAACAUAUCGUUCUCAAUUACACAAAUGCAAAUUUAGCAAAAUAACACACAAAUAUAAACAAAAUGGAAAUUGAGAAAAAAUUAUGCGAUUUUGUUUACAUUUCGGCUCCAAGGGAAAUAUUUUGUGGAAAAAGUAAUCCAGCCUCACGGAGUAUGGAGGAGGAAGAGAGGGGUCGUGCAGUGACUGGCACGAUAAGAAACGGAUUGCAGAUAAAUACACACAAACACACACACACUGUAAUUAAGACGCAAAACCAAGUAGAACAAAGAACAAGCAAUUUCCAUUGCCUGGAGCGGGAAAGAGUACAUAUUAUUCGACAGAUAAUGAGACCCCGGAUCAGCUGCCUCUCCUACACCUGUGUUGCACUGGCUUUAUAGUCGCGAAAAUGGGAAACUGAUUUAUUGCGCUAUUGUCAACCACUGUGCACGCUGCAGUUGGAGCAGCAGCAGUGCAUAGUGCCAUCUCGCUUCGCCACACACGCUCGAAUAAAACGCACCCAAAAAUUCAUGGCCGUCUAUCUCACUCGCUCUCAUUGCUUUCUAUCCUCUGCUCGGCUAUCGAUGACGAUAAUAAUGGUGGAAAAAAAUUUUACACAACUUUCUUAAUUAAUGGGAAACAACAACGCAAUAUUGGGCUACAACACUUGAUUCUCAUAUUGUCACACACAUUGCUAUUGCGAGAAUCGAUUUAUGCACGUUUAUUCCUGCCUUUUCCAGCAGGGCACUUUGUUUUUAGACAGAUUAUUGAAACACUCUCUCCCCACCCAGUCACCAACAAACGCACGCAGACAGAGACGGGAAGCGAUUGACUUUUGAGUUCCCAGUGUCCGAGUCUUGUUUUUGUCAUUUUCGCAGGAGACGUCAUCGUUACUUGCACUUUAUGUCUAUCCCAGGUGCAGCUUGUGUUUUUUAUUGCGUUUAUCACUGUUUUUGCAAUUAGUUUGCCCAGGUUAUUGUUAAAACUUACAAUUCUUUUUAUCCACGAAAAUGGACUUAUCGAUAAAAUAA